rnacentral:rRNA from 1 species
GAUGAACGCUGGCGGCGUGCAUAACACAUUCAAGUCGAACGGUGAAGGGGCUUCGGCCCCGGAUCAGUGGCGGACGGGUGAGUAACGCGUGAGCAACCUGCCUUUCAAAGCGGGAUAACGACUGGAAACGGUCGCUAAUACCGCAUGAUGCAUAUUGGUCGCAUGUCCGAUAUGCCAAAGAUUUAUCGAUGAAAGAUGGGCUCGCGUCUGAUUAGAUAGUUGGUGGGGUAACGGCCUACCAAGUCGACGAUCAGUAGCCGGACUGAGAGGUUGAACGGCCACAUUGGAACUGAGAUACGGUCCAGACUCCUACGGGAGGCAGCAGUGGGGAAUAUUGCACAAUGGGCGCAGGCCUGAUGCAGCAACGCCGCGUGAGGGAUGACGGUCUUCGGAUUGUAAACCUCUGUCCUUGGUGACGAACAAAUGACGGUAGCCAUGGAGGAAGCCACGGCUAACUACGUG